ACCUAGCUGAUGUGUUCCACAUAGGACGAAACGCACAUCCUGGAU
rnacentral:hammerhead_ribozyme from 1 species